rnacentral:ncRNA from 1 species
AAGAAGUUUUAUUCUUGCUUUUUCAUUUAGUUUUUGUUUGUUCUAUAUGUGAGUUUGUGCGUGUUUGGGCUUUUUGUUCUAGAUGGGCUUGAGUAGUUGGUUGGAUUGGUUAUUUUAUUUUCAUUAGUUGUUAUUGGUUUGAUCAAGUGUCUUUGUAUCUAGCAAUUCAUUUUAGUUUCGGUUAAAUUUUGUGCCAGCAGCCGCGGUUAUACCUUGGAGGCGAUUGAAUGUAUUUGGUGUGUUGGGCAGUUGUAUGUUUGUGUUGUUGAUUUUUUUUCGGUUGGUUUGUAUUGGGUGGAAUUUUUAUGUUUUUGUUUAAUGUUUGUUAUUUGUUUGGAGGCUGUGAAACUUUUAGUUUUAGACUAGGAUUAGAUACCCUAUUAUUUUUGAGUGUUAAUGUUUUGUGCCUGAGUAGUAUUAGUUAUGUUCUUGAAACUUAAAGAAUUUGGCGGUAUCUUAUUCCAUUCAGAGGAAUCUGUCUCGUUAUCGAUAGUCCGCGUUGGACCUUACUUGGAUUUUAUUGGUUUGUAUACCGCCGUUUAUUGAUUAUCUUUUGAGAGCUAAUUUUCUGGUUUCUUUAUUUUGUUUGAUUUCAGGUCAAGGUGCAGCCUUUUCUUAGUGUAAUGAUGGAUUACAGUGUUUAUUUGUUGUUUGGAUUGUUUGGUUUUAAUAUUAGCAUGAAAUUGGAUUUGGUUGUAAUGUUCUGUAGAUUGUUUGCAUGAUAAGUGGUUCUGAGAUAUGUACACAUCGCCCGUCGCUCUCAUUUAGUUGUUAAUGAGAUAAGUCGUAACAAAGUGGUUGUACCGGAAGGUGUGGCUGGAAUGAA